rnacentral:pre_miRNA from 1 species
UUACUACUCCCUCCGUUCGGAAUUACUUGUCGUGAAAAUGGAUGUAUCUAGAUGUAAUUUAGUUCUAGAUAUAUCCAUUUCCGAGACAAGUAAUUCCGAACAGAGGGAGUACCAA